AUUGAACGCUGGCGGAAUGCUUUACACAUGCAAGUCGAACGGUAGAGGGGGCAACCCCUCGAGAGUGGCGAACGGGUGAGUAAUAUAUCGGAACGUGCCCAGUCGUGGGGGAUAACGUAGCGAAAGUUACGCUAAUACCGCAUACGAUCUAAGGAUGAAAACGGGGGAUCGCAAGACCUCGCGCGAUUGGAGCGGCCGAUAUCAGAUUAGGUAGUUGGUGGGGUAAAGGCUCACCGAGCCAACGAUCUGUAGCUGGUCUGAGAGGACGACCAGCCACACUGGAACUGAGACACGGUCCAGACUCCUACGGGAGGCAGCAGUGGGGAAUUUUGGACAAUGGACGCAAGUCUGAUCCAGCCAUUCCGCGUGCAGGAUGAAGGCCCUCGGGUUGUAAACUGCUUUUGUACGGAACGAAAAGGUCUCUCUUAAUACGGGGGACUCAUGACGGUACCGUAAGAAUAAGCACCGGCUAACUACGUGCCAGCCGCCGCAGUAA
rnacentral:rRNA from 1 species